GGGCCCGCACAAGCAGUGGAUUAUGUGGUUUAAUUCGAAGCAACGCGAAGAACCUUACCAGGGCUUGACAUCCAACUAACGAAGCAGAGAUGCAUUAGGUGCCCUUCGGGGAAAGUUGAGACAGGUGGUGCAUGGUUGUCGUCAGCUCGUGUCGUGAGAUGUUGGGUUAAGUCCCGCAACGAGCGCAACCCUUAUUGUUAGUUGCUACGCAAGAGCACUCUAGCGAGACUGCCGUUGACAAAACGGAGGAAGGUGGGGACGACGUCAAAUCAUCAUGCCCCUUAUGUCCUGGGCUACACACGUAAUACAAUGGCGUUUAACAGAGGGAAGCAAUAGAGCGAUCUGGAGCAAAUCCCUAAAAGGCGUCUCAGUUCAGAUUGCAGGCUGCAACUCGCCUGCAUGAAGUCGGAAUUGCUAGUAAUCGCGGAUCAGCAUGCCGCGGUGAAUACGUUCCCGGGCCUU
rnacentral:rRNA from 1 species